rnacentral:rRNA from 1 species
GACGAACCGAGCGAACGUUGUUCGGAAUCACUGGGCGUAAAGGGUGCGUAGGCGGGUUUUUAAGUCAGAGGUGAAAUCCUGGAGCUCAACUCCAGAACUGCCUUUGAUACUGAAAAUCUUGAGUAUGGGAGAGGUGAGUGGAACUGCGAGUGUAGAGGUGAAAUUCGUAGAUAUUCGCAAGAACACCAGUGGCGAAGGCGGCUCACUGGCCCAUAACUGACGCUGAGGCACGAAAGCGUGGGGAGCAAACAGG